rnacentral:rRNA from 1 species
CCCUUAGAUGUUCUGGGCCGCACGCGUGCUACACUGAGUGGAUCAGCGGGUCAGGUUGCGCGAAAGUGUUUCCUAAUCUUUAAAUCCGCUCGUGAUGGGGAUUGACGGUUGCAAUUUUCCGUCAUGAACGAGGAAUACCUUGUAAGCGCGGGUCAUCGUCCCGCGCUGAAUACGUCCCUGCCCUUUGUACACACCGCCCGUCGCUCCUACCGAUUGAGUGGUCCGGUGAGGCUUUGGGAUCUGAGCGGAAAGAGCGUUUCGCUGUUUCUGCUCGGAAAACUCAGUCGAACCUUAUCAUUUAGAGGAAGGAGAAGUCGUAACA